rnacentral:lncRNA from 1 species
GUGAAUAAAAUUAAUAAAACCCGACACAGAAACAAAAUCAAAAGAAAAAGAGCAAAGAAACCAAGAAAGCAAAAAAGUGCAGUAUAACAAAGAAACAAAACCAAAUCAGAGCUAAAACUUGAAAACAACAAAGAAAACUAGAAAACACAAAUAAAUAAAUGAAAAAGAAAAGAAACUGAAAGAAAAAUUAAAUCAGACCUACAGGAACUAAUAAAUGAAGAAAAUCCGAAAAGCAAUGAGAACAUGAAAAACCCAAAGCAAAAUGAAGAAAAUAAAGGAAAG